rnacentral:lncRNA from 1 species
UAUGCAUUGGUAUUAGUAUGAAUUAUUACACUUUUAUACCAGGUUAAGAAAACAGAGAAUUUACUAUUUAAUAUUUCAUCUGUUUCCCUCGUUAACACAAUUUUUCCUCAACAGAUUCUUGUUCUGAGAUGAAAGCACAAGUUCUUCUUCCGCCUAAACUGACAGUGAAUCCAUCGGUGAUCACAGACACAGACUCAGUCACAUUGAACUGUCAGCCUCCACCAUCUGUUUCUGUGUCUCAGUGUUAUUUCAGCACUGUAAGAGGAGGACCGGCCACAAGCUUCUCUUGUCUGCAGACACUGACAGGAACUGAACUGCUCAAGAUGUCAUAUCAAAGUUCACCUGCUGAGGUUGAAGUGAUGUGUUUUUAUACUGUAAAGCUUGGAGAAAAAGAUUCUCCAUCUCCAUACAGUGGCACUUCCCGCAUUACCAUACACGGUGAGUAAAUGCUUUUUUGAUUUGGUAUCAUAACAAGAAAAGGGGAGAAG